AUUUUCAGUUUGCAUCAUUGAGAAUUUGAUUCACCUACGUACAAUGGAUGAGAUUUGUCCACAUCUGAAAAGCCAACAUCAAGCCCUUUGCACCUUCUAAAUCUUCAAAACAGGACUGAAGCAGGAUGUUAUGGUUUGCCAGACAGUUGCGCUGCCUUCCCCAAAGCUGAACCAAGAUUCAGCCAGGCAGAACGAAGAGGGUGAUGGUGGAGAGUAAAUUACUGUGACCUUGCGACGUGCUGUGGAAGAAAAAGGGCCCAGCUAAGAAAUCCAGAGGAGAGGGGAAAGGAUCGUAUUUACAAAGAGCAAUUAAAUAGACCAGGGAUCUUCAGUCUGCAAGGUGGCUGACGAGAGAUGAAAACAUCUUGUCACCCGGGCAAAGGGACUGAAGGUGAAAGCACGAUCUCAGUCAGCCUGCUUGGAAGGUGACUUCUCCAGGAGCUCUCCAGUGCUGCUGAAGGAGCUGAAGGUUUAACACUGUGAUCUGUCCCAAAAAAGCACGAAGCACAGGAAGGCGGUUGCCGUGUAUGAGGAGACCUCCUGCUCUUGUGCAAGGCUGCGAGGGCCACCAGCCACAAGCUCUUCUUGUUCCUGGGAACUCGGAGGCUGCAGUAAAUACACCUCCAGGAGUUGCUGAGAACUUCAGACCACCAGGCAGGAGGUAGACACGUGUACCCAGAGGAAACCGAGACACAAGGGAUGGGCACAGCAAUUCCUUGACUUAAGCUAAUUACCACCUUCCCUUGAAGGAGGAGUGAUGCCUCUCCCAAGUUCCCCUGCUUGCAUCGUGAGAGAACUGAUCUAUGAGCUAUUCAGUGGUUACUUACAUCAUUCUUGUGUUUCCAGCCAUGCAACUUGACCGCAAGGCUUUCAGAAGGUAAUCUGGGGAGAUUUUAUCAAAUGUAAAAUGUUCCUAGACAUUACUGGAGCCAUGAUGUAAUGAACCAAGGUUUUGUUCUUUAAAUUCCACUUUGCUUCAUAACCACAGGCCCCAAAAAAUUCUUCCGCAGAAGCUGAGGACUUUGAAGAAGGAGGCUGAGAUCUUGUGCUGGGCUCAGCCGUUCUGUGCUAUGGGGCUGGGAGAAAGGGUUUCCCGCUAAGUCGUGUGUCGCUGGCUUGGUGAGGUCUGGGCUGAACCUCUGGUGUGGACAACAGCCUUUUCACAACAACGACUCUCGUUUCCGCUGCUGUGAUGGGAGAUGUUGCCAAAGGAAAGAGCAACAUAACCGGGCCUGCAUCGCACCUCGCUGCUCCAAGUUUGCUGUGUGUUUAGAGCUUUGUGAUCCAGUCUCUGCGUGGCAUUAACCAUCACCACACUUGAAUCUUCCCAGCCGAGGAUGUUUUGUAACCUUCAGCAGAAAGGUGCCUGACUUAGCAGGAGAAGUUCCUCCAUCUGGUUCAGCACCUGGUCACACAGAGUUUUCCUGGCACAGAUGCAUGGAAAGAGCAUUUUGGUGUGGAGGGGAAAUGAGCAACGGAGGGUGAAAGGUGUCUUGGCAGACACUUCCAAUUUGUGUCCUUAUCUCACAGUCUCCGCCGCCUUCAAAGGCUUUUCCAGCUUCUUGUGUUUUACAAGUUCAAAAACCUGCGGCCCGCUGGUUUUGAGAAUGUGUGAAUGAACAAAAUAAUUGGAGUUGAAUGACAGUGUAAGUAUCCGUUGUCACUGCGAGGAAUGUUUCCUUCAUUUCCAUAAUGAGUCCAUUGAGAAAGAACACGGCUUAAUAAAAAAGAAAGCAGGGUUUCCACGGUGACUUUCUCAGAUUUAGAACAUCUUGUCAUUUAAAUCCCGUUUGCCAUGGAACAUAAAGAUCAUUUGCUAUAUGCAGCAUCAAACCAUCUAAUUUCGGAGGUACCGUGAAGAAUCCAGUGAGGUGCCUGGAAAAACAAACAAAAAGCUAUAAAGAGAACAGUGUCUCAAGGCACUAGAAAGUGGGAGGUUAAUCUCAUUGCAAGUUUGCCACUCUGCUCCCAGAAAUGGAGUUGUCUGAUAAAUAAAUUCCCUGCAGGCAUUAGAAAAACAAGCAAAUCCAGAACAGUGGAAUACCCAGAUGAUUUGCUUAAAGAAAUGUUUGGUUUCUUUAAUGAAUUAUGAUGGUUCUGAUGAAAUUUCCAUUUGCAAAUUUGAGUUGUACUUGACAGGAGUAAAUUUGUGUCUCUAAAGCCUGUGAAAAAAUAUCUGUCUGCCUUCUGUCCGUCUGUCUCUCCUUCCACAGGACAAAAUAGUUUCCAAACAGCAUCUGCUGAAAGUGAAACUUAACGAAGUCUCUGGCUAUAAAUAGCCAUAUAUUUAAAUAUUCUAGUGCACUGACACAGCUUGAAAUCUCAAAUCUGUCCAUUGAUUAACAUAUCUCAUUAGGGGAACUGCUGGGAGCUGAAGUGUGGAGUUUGUUACUAAGUUCACUAGGAGACUCAUAGUAGUAGCUGGUGUUUGUGUGACAAGCUGGGAUCCCCUUCUCCACCGUUUUACUGCCUUGCCCAACACUGUGAAACAGAAAGAGAAGGAGAAGGGGAUUUCUGCUGCGAUGCCUUUGCAGUGACACGCGGACAGAAGCAGCUCAAGGGAAUCCUGCACAGCAGAGGUUAAUGUGACCCACAUAUAAUUGUGUGAAAAGAUGCCACUCUGCACCUUUGUCAAAGAGGCUUCUUGUUACAACCCAAGCUAUCUAGUCCCCAGCCCCUUCAGCAAAGCAGUUUUCUUGCAUUAAAUCACCACUGCCCUCUUGCCAGCUGCUCGGAGUUUGCACAUUAUACAGAGGAGAUGUAGAAUAUAUAUUUAUAUAUUUUUAAAAUGUGACAGAUUGUCUUGUAACAUAUGUAGUAUUGCCUUGAAAUGAACUACGUGCAUGUGAUGGCCAAGCCAGCAGACCCAGUGUGUGUGUGUAUGUGUGUGUGGUUUGUAUUUUUUCCUUUCUGUUGGAAAUCCGAGAGGUUGGGACACUCGAGCUUUUUGUGUUGCUUCUCUCUGAAAUAUUCAUGACGAGUUGACGACCUUGAUUCUUUGAUACCUGCCAUUUAUUUAUGUGCCACUGACGAUAACUGCUGCUAAGUACAUAUGUCAGUGACAUGGUUGAGUGAGUUGGAUGAUAAGGAGCGGGAGGGCAUCUGAGGGGUGUGUAUGCUGGAAUAAGAUUACUUUAUAAACUCUGAGGGCAUUUUAGGAAACUGCCAUGCCAUCUUAUUCACCCCACUUUGUUUUCCUGACUAAAC